GUGAAGGUUCCCUACACUCCUCCGAGGAAAGCCAUCUCCGCAAAAACAGGAGAUUCAAGCUGACAAGAGAGGCAACUUUGAAAGCAAAGGAUCUUAAACGCCGGUCUUUGACAUUCUUUAUUCUGAAAUCGGACUUGUGACAAACUAAACCAGCAUCAUGGGAAAAGGUGAGAGCGAGGAAUGGGAUGAAAAGCCGAGGACAAAUCAGCCACAGAGUUAUGAAGACACGCAGGAUAAAAGCUCCAAAAAGAAAGGUGGRUGCCCCACGUGCUGCUUGAAGUUCAGAGACUGUCUGAUGAGUCCAGAAUGUGGCCGGUGCCUUCAGAUCUCCUCUUGUGUUGCCUUCUGUGGGUCAUGUAUCCGCAUGUGGAUGUAAUGAAGCCUGCGGGGCAUCGAGACCCGUCCUGAGCGGCAUGAAUACAAAGCACUCUCAGGUCCCCUGCAUGCCUGAGAGUCAUGCCGUCUGAUUUUCUCCUAAUCAGAAAUGAAAAGCUUAUUUAUUUUCCGUUUACCGCUUUACGUUUGGGAGCCUUUUAGUACGAAGUAAAAUAAGUAGCAGUAUUUGAAGAAAACAGCUUGUAAAAGUUAAUCUUAUUAUUGUUUACCUUUAAAGRUCUUUAUUGUGGCUGUUUAGUUGAUAGAUGUUCAUACCCAUUGUAAAUGUGGAGUAUUUGAUAUGUUCUUAAUUUUGUAAAUAUAUGUAUCUUCUGAAAGAAGUAAAUAAUAACAAAUUUUAUAUGUGUAAAAAAAAA